AAUAGAAAAAACAGAAAUCCAUAAAAAUAUUUAGAAACCAAACAUUGUUGAAAAUAUAUUUUCUAUACAUGCCGUAAUCUCGUAAGCUAAUUUUACAUCAUGCAAAUUAAUAUUAAAUGAGUUAAAAUUAAUAAAUGAAAAUAAUUGAAAAGUUAAAUCUUAUAAGCUAAGCUAUUUUCUCAAAAUGUUCUAUUUUCACUUAUAAUUACAUGAGUUAAACACAGAUUUGUUAAUUUUCUUUUUGUUGAAUAAAUGUUAAUUGUUUAUAAAUAUAUAGACAUAUAAAUUAGUAUAUGUAAAUUUGUUUACUUUUUAAGAUUUUCUAUUUUUUUAGAGAAUAAAAAAGUUAAAUUUUGAAUGACACAUGUAAACAUCUGAUCGUUUGACUUGACACGUGGCACGAUCCUAUGAGUUAGUAACUUUGAAAACCAUACUUUAUAUAAUAAGAUAACUAAAACCAUACUUCUACGAUAUACAUAUAUAUUUAAUAGAUCUGCCUACUAGUUAUAUACAUCUCCUUAGAGA
rnacentral:sRNA from 1 species